AAGGAGUCUAACAUAUCUGCGAGUAUUUGGGUGUCAAACCCGAGUGCGCAAUGAAAGCGAACGUAGGAGCGAUCCGCAAGGUGCAGCUUCGACCGAUCUGGAUCUUUAGUGAUAGAUUUGAGUAAGAGCAUAUAUGUUGGGACCCGAAAGAUGGUGAACUAUGCCUGAAUAGGGCGAAGCCAGAGGAAACUCUGGUGGAGGCUCGUAGCGAUUCUGACGUGCAAAUCGAUCGUCAAAUUUGGGUAUAGGGGCGAAAGACUAAUCGAACCAUCUAGUAGCUGGUUCCUGC
rnacentral:misc_RNA from 1 species